rnacentral:rRNA from 1 species
UGGGGAAUAUUGCACAAUCGGCGCAAGCCUGAUGCAGCCAUGCCGCGUGUGUGAAGAAGGCCUUCGGGUUGUAAAGCACUUUCAGCGGGGAGGAAGGCGAUAAGGUUAAUAACCUUGUCGAUUGACGUUACCCGCAGAAGAAGCACCGGCUAACUCCGUGCCAGCAGCCGCGGUAAUACGGAGGGUGCAAGCGUUAAUCGGAAUUACUGGGCGUAAAGCGCACGCAGGCGGUCUGUCAAGUCGGAUGUGAAAUCCCCGGGCUUAACCUGGGAACUGCAUUCGAAACUGGCAGGCUAGAGUCUUGUAGAGGGGGGUAGAAUUCCAGGUGUAGCGGUGAAAUGCGUAGAGAUCUGGAGGAAUACCGGUGGCGGAGGCGGCCCCCUGGACGAAGACUGACGCUCAGGUGCGAAAGCGUGGGGAGCAAACAGG